rnacentral:rRNA from 1 species
CAGUCGCCGCGGUAAUACGUAGGGUGCAAGCGUUAAUCGGAAUUACUGGGCGUAGAGCGUGCGCAGGCGGUUCGCUAAGACAGAUGUGAAAUCCCCGGGCUUAACCUGGGAACUGCAUUUGUGACUGGCGGGCUAGAGUAUGGCAGAGGGGGGUAGAAUUCCACGUGUAGCAGUGAAAUGCGUAGAUAUGUGGAGGAAUACCGAUGGCGAAGGCAGCCCCCUGGGAUAACACUGACGCUCAUGCACGAAAGCGUGGGGAGCAAACAGGAUUAGAUACCCCGGUAGUCCCUGUCUCUUAUAC